rnacentral:tmRNA from 1 species
GGGGAUGUUUUUUGGAUUCGACAGGUAUAGGUCGAGUUUCAAUUGCGUUUCGAAGGUUGCGUCUUCGUAAAAACGCUCAGUUUUAAAUUAUAACUGCAAACAAUAAUUCAAACUCUUACGCAUACGCUGCCUAACAAGUAGCGCGCGUAAAUCCAUCCUGGGUUUGUCCAUGAUGCAGUGAUGGGUUUCAUAUAUUAAUGGACUACGCUUAACACUCGCGCUUGAAGUAUUAAGAAGAGAUUAUCAAGCUAGUUAGUCAUGGUUGCCCUGAUCAACGGCGUUUUGAUUGAUGAAAUCUAAAUAGUUGAGAUAUGAACGUAGAGGUUGAAAUGGCGAUAUGCCUGGACACGGGUUCGACUCCCGUCAUCUCCAUUG